GUGGUGAUAAAGGCCCACGCUAUAGAAAUCUUGUUUCGAGAUCAAUGUGUAAACACCAGAAGGCAUAUCUAUAAAUGAACAAAAUGUUUGCUUUCUUUGAUAAUAUACUUUUUAGAAGGUAUUAGUUCGUACGACAAUUACAGGAUUGAAAGUAAUCGGUAGGCCUAUAUCAUUCUCAAAACUACACCAAAUACUGAUAAAGCAUUUGCUUUUGGCUGAAGAAUGCAAAUCUUAACGGCAUUCAUAUUUUGGAGUCUCUUUGGUGUUGUGGUUGCUGAAACACUGGAUACAGGCUCAAUAUUGGCUAUUUUUUUUGGAAUCCUUGUAUUGUGUUUCAUAAUAGCUAUCUCUGUUCUGGCUAUUAAAUACAAUAAAAAAAAGAAAGACGCCAUAAAAAAUUAUGAAGAGGCUGUAGCAUUGAAGAUACAAAUGUCAAUUAAUCAAGCACUAGAGAUGAUAGGACAAAAGAUCGAAAAUCGGAACGUAGUUUAAUUAUUACUAUAUAUAUAUAUAUAUAUAUAUAUAUAUAUAUAUAUAUAUAUAUAUAUAGAGAGAGAGAGAGAGAGAGAGAGAGAGAGAGAGAGAGACUAAAUCUUCAGAAUCAAAGACAUUGUCAUUAUAUAUAUAUAUAUAUAGAGAGAGAGAGAGAGAGAAAGAGAGAGAGAGACUAAAUCUUCAGAAUCAAAGACAUUGUCAAUAUAUAUAUAUAUAUAU